GAGUUUGAUCAUGGCUCAGAUUGAACGCUGGCGGCAUGCCUUACACAUGCAAGUCGAACGGCAGCACGGGAGCUUGCUCCUGGUGGCGAGUGGCGAACGGGUGAGUAAUGCAUCGGAACGUAUCCUGGAGUGGGGGAUAACGUAGCGAAAGUUACGCUAAUACCGCAUAUUCUGUGAGCAGGAAAGCGGGGGACCUUCGGGCCUCGCGCUCUUGGAGCGGCCGAUGUCGGAUUAGCUAGUUGGUGAGGUAAAGGCUCACCAAGGCGACGACCCGUAGCAGGUCUGAGAGGAUGAUCUGCCACACUGGAACUGAGACACGGUCCAGACUCCUACGGGAGGCAGCAGUGGGAAUUUUGGACAAUGGGGGCAACCCUGAUCCAGCCAUGCCGCGUGAGUGAAGAAGGCC
rnacentral:rRNA from 1 species